UUGGCAGCACCAAGAUCAGAUCCAUUUCAUGGGAGAAGAUUCUCAGAAACCAAAUUCAAAACACCGAUGAUCUAAAGUCAGAAUAAUAACAAUAAUUCACAACGAGAAAAGAAAAAAAUCUCACAUGAGAUGGGAUACUUGUAUUGACAUCAAUGUUCUUUGCUCCUGGUGGUCAGGAAUCUUCUGACAUCUUCAACUGCUCUGUGAAAUCUACUGUAAAAUGCUGUUAGAGCCAGUUGGAUAAUGCAACCAACACAGAGAAGGGAGCCAAAUGAUGAUGAGGAAGAAACCAGUUUUGGGUGACAUCAUUUAGACCUCUGCAUCAAAAAUUGCUUGAAGGAGACAAGGAGAGAGAACCCACCAAACCUCUGCAAUCUGUCAUACUUUCCUAGAUGAAUAUUAAAUGUUUGGGAAAAAGAGAAA